GACGAACGCUAGCGGCGUGCCUAAUACAUGCAAGUAGAACGCACAGUUUAUACCGUAGCUUGCUACACCAUAGACUGUGAGUUGCGAACGGGUGAGUAACGCGUAGGUAACCUGCCUGGUAGCGGGGGAUAACUAUUGGAAACGAUAGCUAAUACCGCAUAAUAUUGAUUAUUGCAUGAUAAUUGAUUGAAAGAUGCUAUUGCAUCACUACCAGAUGGACCUGCGUUGUAUUAGCUAGUAGGUGAGGUAACGGCUCACCUAGGCGACGAUACAUAGCCGACCUGAGAGGGUGAUCGGCCACACUGGGACUGAGACACGGCCCAGACUCCUACGGGAGGCAGCAGUAGGGAAUCUUCGGCAAUGGACGAAAGUCUGACCGAGCAACGCCGCGUGAGUGAAGAAGGUUUUCGGAUCGUAAAGCUCUGUUGUAAGAGAAGAACGGGUGUGAGAGUGGAAAGUUCACACUGUGACGGUAUCUUACCAGAAAGGGACGGCUAACUACGUG
rnacentral:rRNA from 1 species